CCCCGGGGUUUCCGGGAAGGUUGGACCUGGGCGUUGCCGUCUCCCGGCUCGCCUCAAAUGUCUCAGUGGGGAUCGGCCCCCGUCGGGAGUAAUAAGUUUCUUCUGAUGGGGAUGGCUUGAUGAACCGCUCAUAACACGUGCCCUUCGGCACACCUUUUGACUCUGACCUCAAAUCAGGUAGGGCUACCCGCUGAACUUAA
rnacentral:misc_RNA from 1 species